UAUAAUAAACUCACCCAUAGAAAGUCCACAUGACUGCUUGCAGGCAAGGUGUACUUUCUAUGAGGGGAGUAAACAGACAUGAACAAGUAGGACGGUAGUCCGGAUUGUGAAUGUCUGUUACGAUUUCGAGAGUGCGAUAGCACGGAGAAAUCGUAUUAUA
rnacentral:ncRNA from 2 species